rnacentral:rRNA from 1 species
GCAGAACGCGAAGAACCUUACCAACCCUUGACAUGGGACGUAUGGGCACCAGAGAUGGUGUUCUUCAGUUCGGCUGGCGUCCACACAGGUGCUGCAUGGCUGUCGUCAGCUCGUGUCGUGAGAUGUUGGGUUAAGUCCCGCAACGAGCGCAACCCUCAUCUUCAGUUGCCAUCAUUUAGUUGGGCACUCUGAAGAAACUGCCGGUGACAAGCCGGAGGAAGGCGGGGAUGACGUCAAGUCCUCAUGGCCCUUACGGGUUGGGCUACACACGUGCUACAAUGGUGGUGACAAUGGGGAGCGAGGCCGCGAGGCCAAGCCAAUCUCAAAAAGCCAUCUCAGUUCGGAUUGCACUCUGCAACUCGAGUGCAUGAAGUUGGAAUCGCUAGUAAUCGCGCAUCAGCAUGGCGCGGUGAAUACGUUCCCGGGUCUUGUACACACCGGAGGUCGGUGGGGGAGGGCGAA